UACGUAGGGGGCAAGCGUUGUCCGGAAUCAUUGGGCGUAAAGAGCGUGUAGGCGGCUCGGUAAGUCCGCUGUGAAAGUCCAGGGCUCAACCCUGGAAUGCCGGUGGAAACUGUCGAGCUAGAGUCCGGAAGAGGCGAGUGGAAUUCCUGGUGUAGCGGUGAAAUGCGCAGAUAUCAGGAGGAACACCAAUGGCGAAGGCGGCGUUCUGGACUGCAACUGACACUGAAAAACGAAAGCCAGGGGAGCAAACGGG
rnacentral:rRNA from 1 species